AUAUUUUCUUUGAAAUUCAAUAAAUUAAUUAAAUUUUUUAAUAUUUAUAUAAAAAUCUUAAAUUAUGCAUUCUCAAAUGGAGGAAAUAGUAUCUUGGAAGUACUUUUUUUGUGUGUGAGAGAUCUCGGAAGUACUUUCUAUGUACUCCACUACACAAGCAGUUUAUUUUAGCAUUUAAACUUAUUUAUCCUAGUGACACAGCCACCAAGAAAGUCGAAAUUUCCUGGAAAUUUCCUUUGGCAAAAUCUGAUAGUCAGUCUGACAAAGACAUUAAUAAUAGAUAUCAACUCAACAGCCAUCACACAAUGAAGAAAUUAAAAUAAGAAGGAAGUUGGUACUAUUUACUAUAUAAAAAAUAUUUAAAAUACAUUCACAUUUCUAUUUAAAUUUUAUUUUUCUUUCCUAUUUCUCUCCAUUUAUUAUCACAUCAUUUGUCAUAUUUCUCUCUUUUUUUAUUAUUAUUUAUAUGUCUGUUUUUUUUCUUCUACCGAUACAUCUUAAAAAUAGGAGUGUCUUAUUAUCAUUAGUCUUACACUUUAGUAACCUUUGAAAAUGAAACUCGUCUCCUGUAUCAGUCUGCAAGUUAUGAGCAAUUAAUAUAAUUUAAAGAUAUAAAAUUAACUUAAUAAUAAAAAUAAAAAGAAAAAAGGAAUAAGUCGUGGAUUUGAGUCUUUUCAAUAAUAGAAAUUAACAUUAAUAAUUAAUAUUUAUUGAUAAAAAACAUUUUUAUAGCUUAAUAAUCAUUUAAAAACUCUAAUAUAAAUUUUUAUGUUAAAAGUUAUUGUAAAAAAUGCCUUAAAAACGUUUAAUGUUAAUAGUUAUUUUUUAUGCUAUAAUGUUAAAAGUUAAAAAUUAAUGGUUUAUAGUAAAAUUGAAAAAUUAUAUAAUCGUACCUUAUAUGCUGAUUUUUUAAAAUAAUUUUAAAUUACCGUUAAUUAGGAGACUAUAGUGAAAAACAGAAAAAAAGAAGAAGAGGAGACUAUCAUGAAAUUUUUUAUUUUAAUUAAAAAAAUUAAAGUAAAGAGGCAAAAAUGACCGCAUAACAUGCCUUGAUCUGACCUAUAACGUAACCACUCUUGACUGGUCUUUUGUUGCUGAAAUUGAGAAUGCUUAAAACGCGGUAUAGACGCGUCUAGUAAGUUGAGUGUUAAUAAAGCCACAGCAACAUUUGGAAAAGGCAAUGUAAAUUGUUGCCGAAAUUUCUGCUGCUUGAUGUCAACAAUGGCGGAUGUCGGUCGAGAAAAGUAAAAAUUUACUGUAAAAGGGUUCAGACUACUGGAAAACGAGGGUUUUGCCUGAAUCCUAGUCCUGAUAAUUGAUUAACAGUUAAGAAAGAAUUUAGUUAAGAAUUUAUUUAAUAAAUUCAUCAUAAGAUUAAUGGUGAAAUUUAUUGAAAUGAGUUAAAAAGAAGUCUAUGACACAAUCGAAAAUCCCAUGGAUUUAAAUUGCCGUCGCCUUGUGGGGAGCCAAAAAAAUCUUGCGGAAAGAUACGGUUGAUGCGGCUGCAAUUGCGAUCGAUUACAGAGUAUCAAAAUACCUUGAACUUGGAAAAUCCUAAGAUUGCCAUUAUCUAAAGACAUUCCGUAGUUGGCAAGAGCAUCUGCUGGUGCAUUUAUCUCCUGAACAAUAUGUCGGCAGAAAUAGAUAAGAGGGAAACCCUUUCAACACAUUCUGGAGAAGCACCUGCUGAUGGCUAAUUUUAGACCAUGAAAAAUAGCCCAGAGUUCGGCCUCGACUAUGGAAUAACUACCCAAAUUGCAAGCCACAGCUGAUAAGAAAUAACCACUAUGAUCUCUGAGGAUACUGCCGGCUGCUGCUAUUUGAGAGGCAUAAGCAUAAGCUCCAUCUCUGUUAAUUUUUAUGAAUCCCUCAUCAGGAGGGUUCAAGAAAAAAAAAAGCUGCUCCGGAUGAUGAAGCAUUGUGGAUGAAUUUGCUCCCCUUUCAUUGUGGGUCUUUAAUUAGAGCCAGCUGAUCUGAAUGGCAAACAGCCUUAUGAAUGGAGAAAUCAGUGGAAAAGAGAGGGGCAAAAACAACUUCUAACUUCUUUUUCAAAUGGCAUGGAUUGAGAAACCAAGAAUGAAGGUUUUGGUUCCGAAAAUUUUGUUCCUUGAACCGGUGAAGAGAGGUUAGGAGCUAAACCUGUUCUGCUGUAGAACAAUCUCUUGGAGCAUGGACAGUAAUCUCUUCACGCUGUUGGCAGAGGGAGCAUUUGUGGUGAUAUUUCAGUGAUGCCUAAGAUAGUUGGUUGGGAGAGCAUCAUGGGCUGACUUCCAAAGAAAAAAUUUCACUCUUUUCGGACCUGGCCUGUCCCAAAUACUCCUAUUGUAGUUACGAUAAAUAGAAGCAAGAUUGAAAUUCCCAUUAGUAGAAAACUUCUAGAUCAAGGAAUCAUUUCCAUUCUCUAUAGAUGGUAGCAACAUUCCACAAAUAAUACAAACUACGUGGCUUGGGAGCAUUUCCUCAAGAAAGUCGUAAUUCCAAGAGCCAUCCUGUGCAGUGGCUUCAAUAACUUUUAAAUCCCAAUCUGAAUCCCCCAGGGACUUCAAAGCCAAUUUUGAAAGGGUUAAAGAACUUUUUUGGAACUUACUUAACAAACCUGUUUGGUCUAAUUCUUCCAAGUGCUGCAAGCAGAGACUUGUUGGAGAAGACUCAUUGGAGCUCUUCAGAGGUCUGUUAAUCGUGGUGAAUGGCAGUUGAUCAGGGUGUGUUUAAGAGAAAGAGAUUAGACUCAAAUGUAACUCCUUCUCCAAUUUACCUCACAAAGUUGAACUUGAGGUUUGUAUGGCCCAACUAGCAUGUCCCUUGGCAAUAAUGUAGACGUGUUUCUUUUCAUUAUUCA